rnacentral:rRNA from 1 species
AACGUAGGAGGCAAGCGUUAUCCGGAGUUACUGGGCGUAAAGAGCGUGUAGGCGGGUAUGCAAGUUUGGCGUGAAAGCUCCCGGCUAAACUGGGAGACUGCGUUGAAGACUGCGUAUCUAGAGGCAAGUAGAGGGACGUGGAAUUCCGGGUGUAGUGGUGAAAUGCGUAGAGAUCGGGAAGAACAUCGGUGGCGAAAGCGCUCUACUGGACCGCAACUGACACUCAGGGACGAAAGCUAGGGGAGCGAAUGGG